GGGGGUGUUGGGACAUCGUUGGUUCGGGCCACACACACUACUCCUUACAGUACCUGCAGCGGUAAAAAUCAUCAUGUCUCUCCUUGGGGGGUGCAUAGUUCUCAUGUGAAGUGAGGUCCAACUGCAUAAUGGGUGACAUGCCUAUCAGGUGAAACGGAGGAGAUGGGGAACAAAGUGAAAAUGACACGACUUGGGAACACCUCUCGGGACCUGGGCCUGAAAGAGGAAGACUGGGCGAAAGUUUACAGAGUUCUGAACUCAGCCAGCCUCUAUGACUGUUCAGCCAGGUCAACCACUGACCAUCUCCUGUAAGGUCUCAAAUUCUGUUACUAGCUCUAGUGCAAAUUGGAUUAGACAGCCUGAAUGGAAAACACGGGAGUGGAUUGGAUAUACUGUAUCAGUAAUGGUGGAAGCAUAGCUUAUAAAUAUUAACUUAAAAUAAAGUUCAGCAUCACUGGAGCCACUUCCAGCAACACAUUGUUUUUAAAAGGACAGAGUCUGCAGACUGAAGACACAGCUGUGUAUUAUUGUGCUCACUACCACAGUGAUACAAACCACCAACAGACCUGUACUAAAAUUCACUCACCCAUUAAACAGUAGGAGUUCUAUGUAACUACCAGGAGGGGGCGAUAUUAACCUUCUUAAUAAAAUAAGGCCAAAUCCAGUCAUGGAAUGAUGAAUUUAGUUUACUACUACUUUAUAGUUACUACUACUUUAUGCUAUUUUGAUAUGAUAUUAAAUUAUGAGAAUAGACAUAAAUACAUGUAUGCACAAUAUACUCUAAACCUCCAAACCAUGUUUCAUACCUUUGAGACAAUGAGCUCCAUGUUUACUGUCUCAGUGAGCAGCAGGUAGCCUAGCAUUGGGCCAG